AUUGCCCUAGUAACGGCGAGUGAAGCGGCAACAGCUCAAAUUUGAAAUCUGGCCCCCCUCUGGGGGGUCCGAGUUGUAAUUUGCAGAGGGCGCUUUGGCAUCGGCGGCGGUCUAAGUUCCUUGGAACAGGACAUCGCAGAGGGUGAGAAUCCCGUACGUGGGCGCCUGCCUUUGCCGUGUAAAGCCCCUUCGACGAGUCGAGUUGUUUGGGAAUGCAGCUCUAAAUGGGAGGUAAAUUUCUUCUAAAGCUAAAUACCGGCCAGAGACCGAUAGCGCACAAGUAGAGUGAUCGAAAGAUGAAAAGUACUUUGGAAAGAGAGUCAAAUAGCACGUGAAAUUGUUGAAAGGGAAGCGCUUGCAGCCAGACGUGCGCGCGGUUGCUCACCCCGGCUCUCGCCUGGGGCACUCUUCCGCGCGCAGGCCAGCAUCAGUUCGGGCGGUCGGAUAAAGGCCUCUGUCAAGUACCUUCCCCCGGGAAGGCCUUAUAGGGGAGGCGCAAUGCGACCAGCCCGGACUGAGGUCCGCGCAUCUGCUAGGAUGCUGGCGUAAUGGCUGUAAGCGGCCCGUCUUGAAACACGGACCAAGGAGUCUAACAUCUAUGCGAGUGUUUGGGUGUCAAGCCCGGGCGCGCAAUGAAAGUGAACGGAGGUGGGAUCCCCUUCCGGGGUGCACCAUCGACCGAUCCUGAUGUCUUCGGAUGGAUUUGAGUAAGAGCAUAGCUGUUGGGACCCGAAAGAUGGUGAACUAUGCUUGAAUAGGGUGAAGCCAGAGGAAACUCUGGUGGAGGCUCGCAGCGGUUCUGACGUGCAAAUCGAUCGUCAAAUUUGGGCAUAGGGGCGAAAGACUAAUCGAACCAU
rnacentral:rRNA from 1 species